GAUUGAGGCUGUUGAGACUCCAGGAGUGUUCGGGGCUGGGAGCCUGCUGAGUGUUCACUGUUCCCACCUCCAAUCUGCUCCAUCCUCCAGCUGCAAUUCAUUCCGGAUCUACCAGAGUGUCAUUCUGUCACCUAGGCUGGAGUACAGUGGUGCAAUCACAGCUCACUGCAGCCUCGAUCUCCUGGACUCAACCAAUCCUCCUGCCUCAGCCUUCCGGGUAGUUGAGACCACAGAUACAGAAGAUGAGAGAGAGAAAAAGAGAGAAAUUACAGAGUGACAGAGAAGGCAGACAUCAUGCAACAUGCUCAAGGGCUAUUCAUUUUAAGCUGAAACAUACAUGUGUAGAAAGCAUCCUUGUACUUAUAAUCCCAAUGACUGUGAAGAAAAAUAAUUUAGCCAAAUAGUUCCUAGAACAGGAAAAAUAAGGAAUUGUAUUUUGAGAUAAGAAGUUAAGCUCUAGUAUAACAAUGAUAUUGGGUCAAAGAAAAAUGAAAACAAAUUUAAAAAAUCUUACAACAUGAAUAAAAGUUUCACCAAAUCAGG